rnacentral:rRNA from 1 species
CAGCAGCCACGGUAAAACGAAGGGGGCUAGCGUUGUUCGGAAUUACUGGGCGUAAAGCGCACGUAGGCGGACAUUUAAGUCAGGGGUGAAAUCCCGGGGCUCAACCCCGGAACUGCCUUUGAUACUGGGUGUCUAGAGUAUGGAAGAGGUGAGUGGAAUUCCGAGUGUAGAGGUGAAAUUCGUAGAUAUUCGGAGGAACACCAGUGGCGAAGGCGGCUCACUGGUCCAUUACUGACGCUGAGGUGCGAAAGCGUGGGGAGCAAACAGGAUUAGAUACCCCUGUAGUCCCUGUCUCUUAUAC